rnacentral:rRNA from 1 species
AGCAGCCGCGGUAAUUCCAGCUCCAAUAGCGUAUAUUAAAGUUGCUGCAGUUAAAAAGCUCGUAGUUGAAUUUCGGGACUAAUAUGUUGGUCGUGCCUCGGUACGUACUGAUAUUUUUGGUUUCUCCCUUCUGACGAACCUUGAUGUCAUUAAUUUGGUGUCUUGGGAAAUCAGGACUGUUACUUUGAAAAAAUUAGAGUGUUUAAAGCAGGCUCACGCUUGAAUACAUUAGCAUGGAAUAAUGAAAUAGGACGUUUGAUUCUAUUUUGUUGGUUUCUAGGAUUGACGUAAUGAUUAAUAGGGAUAGUUGGGGGCAUUAGUAUUCAAUUGUCAGAGGUGAAAUUCUUGGAUUUAUUGAAGACUAACUACUGCGAAAGCAUUUGCCAAGGAUGUUUUCAUUAAUCAAGAACGAAAGUUAGGGGAUCGAAGACGAUCAGAUACCGUCGUAGUCUUAACCAUAAACUAUGCCGACUAGGGAUCGGAUGAUGUUAAUUUUUUCAAUGACUCAUUCGGCGCCUUA